ensembl:lncRNA
AGCUAAGGUAGUUUGGACAUUCUGUAACCUGAUCUCUCCUCAGACACCAACUAGCUCUCGAAGACUCACGUCAGGUUUAGAUGUUCAGCCACGUUUUCUCAAACAAUGCACUUAUUUACAGCAGGUAGUGAAUGUGGCUAGUUACAGGGGACAGGUGGUGCCCACAGUCCCUACAGCCCUACAGGGGACAGGUGGUGUCCACAGUCCCUACGGCCCUAUAGGGGACAGGUGGUGCCCACAGUCCCUACGGCCCUACAGGGGACAGGUGGUGCCCACAGUCCCUACGACCCUGGGGACAGGUGGUGCCCACAGUCCCUACGGCCCUACAGGGGACAGGUGGUGUCCACAGUCCCUACAGCCCUAUAGGGGACAGGUGGUGCCCACUUUCCCUACGGCCCUACAGGGGACAGGUGGUGUCCACAGUCCCUACAGCCCUACAGGGGACAGGUGGUGCCCACAGUCCCUACGGCCCUACAGGGGACAGGUGGUGCCCACAGUCCCUACGGCCCUACAGGGGACAGGUAGUGCCCACUUUCCCUACGGCCCUAUAGGGGACAGGUGGUGCCCACAGUCCCUCCGGCCAUGGGGACAGGUGGUGCCCACAGUCCCUACGGCCCUACAGGGGACAGGUGGUGCCCACAGUCCCUACGGCCCUACAGGGGACAGGUGGUGCCCACAGUCCCUAUGGCCCUGGGGACAGGUGGUGCCCACAGUCCCUACGGCCCUGGGGACAGGUAGUGCCCACAGUCCCUCCGGCCCUACAGGGGACAGGUGGUGCCCACAGUCCCUCCGGCCCUACAGGGGACAGGUGGUGCCCACAGUCCCUCCGGCCCUACAGGGGACAGGUAAUGCCCACAGUCCCUCCGGCCCUAUAGGGGACAGGUAGUGCCCACAGUCCCUCCGGCCCUAUAGGGGACAGGUAAUGCCC